GGGUCAGGAGGUUGGUCGUGCCACCGGUACGUACUGGUCUCACUGAUUCCUCCUUCCUGAAGAACCGUAAGGCCAUUAAUUUGGUGUUGCGGGGAAACAGGACUGUUACUUUGAAAAAAUUAGAGUGUUUAAAGCAAGCUAACGCUUGAAUACAUUAGCAUGGAAUAAUGAAAUAGGACGAUCGAUCCUAUUUUGUUGGUUUCUAGGAUUGACGUA
rnacentral:rRNA from 1 species